CCCUUAGAUGUUCUGGGCGGCCCGCGCACUACAAUGGCGUGUGCAGCGAGUGCCGAAGUAGAGUUUUCCGAGGUAUUCUUGCAAUGCUCGUUUUGAUGGGGAUAGACCCUUGCAACUGUUGGUUUUGAACGAGGAAUUCCUUGUAAGCAUGGUUUAUCAUCCGACGCUGAAUGCGUCCCUGCCCUUUGUACACACCGCCCGUCGCUCCUACCGAUGAGUCGUCCGGUGAAGUUCGUAGACCUCGUGAUCGCGGAUCACUGGGGGAUGCAAAAUGAACCUCGCGGUUUAGAGGAAGGAGAAGUCGUAACA
rnacentral:rRNA from 1 species